rnacentral:rRNA from 1 species
AUUGAACGCUGGCGGCAUGCUUUACACAUGCAAGUCGAACGGCAGCGCGGGCUUCGGCCUGGCGGCGAGUGGCGAACGGGUGAGUAAUGCAUCGGAACGUGCCCAGUAGUGGGGGAUAGCCCGGCGAAAGCCGGAUUAAUACCGCAUACGACCUGAGGGUGAAAGCGGGGGACCGAAAGGCCUCGCGCUAUUGGAGCGGCCGAUGUCGGAUUAGCUAGUUGGUGGGGUAAAGGCUUACCAAGGCGACGAUCCGUAGCUGGUCUGAGAGGACGACCAGCCACACUGGGACUGAGACACGGCCCAGACUCCUACGGGAGGCAGCAGUGGGGAAUUUUGGACAAUGGGGGCAACCCUGAUCCAGGCAUGCCGGGUGCGGGAAGAAGGCCUUCAGGUUGUAAACCGCUUUUGUUCGGGAAGAAAUCCUCUGGGCUAAUACCCCGGGGGGAUGACGGUACCGGAAGAAUAAGCACCGGCUAACUACGUG